rnacentral:rRNA from 1 species
UUAUGAGAGUUUGAUCCUGGCUCAGGACGAACGCUGGCGGCGUGCCUAAUACAUGCAAGUCGAACGCUUUUUCUUUCACCGGAGCUUGCUCCACCGAAAGAAAAAGAGUGGCGAACGGGUGAGUAACACGUGGGUAACCUGCCCAUCAGAAGGGGAUAACACUUGGAAACAGGUGCUAAUACCGUAUAACACUAUUUUCCGCAUGGAAGAAAGUUGAAAGGCGCUUUUGCGUCACUGAUGGAUGGACCCGCGGUGCAUUAGCUAGUUGGUGAGGUAACGGCUCACCAAGGCAACGAUGCAUAGCCGACCUGAGAGGGUGAUCGGCCACACUGGGACUGAGACACGGCCCAGACUCCUACGGGAGGCAGCAGUAGGGAAUCUUCGGCAAUGGACGAAAGUCUGACCGAGCAACGCCGCGUGAGUGAAGAAGGUUUUCGGAUCGUAAAACUCUGUUGUUAGAGAAGAACAAGGAUGA